UCAUGAUUCGAUUACUUUAACUUUAAUGAUUAUGCUGGGUUAAUUGUUUGUAUUGAUCGACAUUGCCGACACUCUCUCUCUCCCUCACUCACACUCUCCCUCUCUCCCACUCACACUCUCACUCUCUCUAUCAGCCGAACCCAGCAAGAAAAACAGAGCAACCAUUCACCUGCCGACCUCUCUCUCCUCAGGCCACCUCAAGACGUCGGACCACCUCCAGUAGCUUCGCCUAGACCUUGCGCAGCCGCCGGUGGCAUCCUUGCGCCGCAACAUGAACUGUAGUGACGGCGGAGGACCUGGCUCCGUUUGAGCCGAUUUCGAAUCAAUCUCAAUAUCUUGAGCUACAAGCCACCAAUACUCUUGAUUCUUGGCUCAUAUGAUUCGCAUCAACUUUCUGAACAAGCACCAAGAAGAACCAGACCUGAAUCGACCAUUUUCACGUUCGUCGGAGCUCGACCGGUUUUUGAUCGAAAAUCAAAACCUUUCGAUCGUGAUAUCUCGAGUUGUAGUGCAUCGUUUUGAUUGAUUCUUGAACCAGUGGGUUUGCCUUGAUGUUCUUAACAACUCUCUAGAAGGAAUCGAGGCCUGAAAUUGAAGUUUUUACGUCGAAAUCUUGGCUCGCCGGUUUCUGCAUUUCUUCGCCGGUUUCUGGAAAAUUUCCGGCCACCUUCAACUGUUCUAGGUGAUUGACGGUCUCCCUUGGGUGAGCGGUUUCGGUGUGUAUUGUGUUGAAUUGAAGACGCAGCGGGAAUAUCGAGCGGGUAAUCCUACAGGUCAGGAGAAUCAGGACGGUGAUCGUGCGGGUUAGAGAAUUUGUUUUAGUUUUACAGCAAUUGUAAUUGUGAGGUGAGUUAUGCUCAUUUGAGCCUUACAAUAUAAUUUGGUGAGAGUGUGCUGUAAUAAACAAAUUUGAGAUUUGGUUUAUGUAAUAUCGAGCGAUGUGAGGUGUGGUUGUUUUGAGAAAAAAAUUCAGGUUGUAUUUAUGUGAGUUGUAUUAAUUCAUGUUUCGGAUUUGGAUUUGUUAUUCAAAA